rnacentral:lncRNA from 1 species
UGGUACAAAAGGUGUCUCUUCACGAUGAUGGCCUACUAGAGGUUGAGGUUGCGAGGGAUUAACAGAGGAAUGAGGGGGUUGUGGUUGAGCAGGUGGAGGUGGCUGAGAGUACAUUGGCGGAGGGGCAGACUGAUAUUGUUGAUGUGGAGGUGGUGGAGGAGUCUGAUGCUGCUGUGGUGCCGGCAGUUGGUACUGCUGACUUAAGUUUUCCGGUGCUUGACCAGCCGGGGGAUAAUAAGCUUCUGACUGAGGAUGGGAGGGAAUUGGAUUCUGAGGAAACUGGUUCUGAAGUUGAACUUGGUAUGGCAGAUUCUGUUGAGGAGGGGGCGGAGGAGCAUUUGGAGGAGGUACGGUAGAAGGUGGUUGGGGAUUCUGUUGAGGAGGGGGUGGAGGAGCAUUUGGAGGAGGUACGAUAGAAGGUGGUUGUGUAAGAGCAACAGGAGGAAAUUGCUGGUGGGAUUGAAGAGGAACAGAUGCUGUAGGUUGGGGUGAAUCCUUAUGUGUAGUAUUGUGGGUUUCUGCUUCCUGCUCAACCUUUGGAGCUUGUGAUUUCAUG